GCCACUGGGAAUAAUAAAGCAGAAGCAUUCAACAAACAAUGGAAGAAUGAUUUUUACAUGUAUAUAUAUGUCUAGGUGACUAAUUUGUUCAGUGAGACGUUUACCUCUGAGAACGAACAGGAUACAUAAAUAUGUUGUUGGAUCGUGUAUAUUGUAUAAGAAUUGCUUCACUCCAUUUCCUCCGAAAUCGGAUGCAUUUAUCAAAUUGUUUCUAAAAUUCAUUUCAGCAUGGAAAUUAAGGAUUGCAUAUUGAUUUCUCACACAGCACUUUGAAAUUGAUGAAUUCUCACAAGAAUAUCUGGCUUUACACCCGAACACACACACACACACACACACACACACAUAUAUAUAUAUAUAUAUAUAUAUAUCCACAAAUAAACCGUCUUUGCUCGAGGAACAUUUUGAAACUGUUAUGGAAGAGGACCAAAUUAUUAGUGGGUCUGAUGUGAGUGAAUCAUCAGAAGCUGAGGAUGCCAGUGACAACAAAUCCAGUGGGAAAAUUACGAGUUCCAAGGUAAACUCUCCCCUACUUAUCUUUUACUCCCUUUCCAAGGUGAGUAUGAAUGCCUUUUUU
rnacentral:lncRNA from 1 species